UCCCCGAUAGCUCAGUUGGUAGAGCAAGUGACUGUUAAUCACUGGGUCGCAGGUUCGAGUCCUGCUCGGGGAGCCA
rnacentral:tRNA from 8 species